CGUCGGGUUAGCAAUAAUUCGGCGGUUCUAGUGGCGUACGGGUGAGUAACACGUGGGCAACUUGCCCUAGAGACCGGGAUACCCUCUCGAAAGGGAGGCUAAUACUGGAUACGUUCUUCGGGUCGCAAGAUCUGGAGAGGAAAGGUGGCGCAAGCUACCGCUCUUGGAGAGGCUCGCGGCCUAUCAGCUAGUUGGUGAGGUAAUGGCUCACCAAGGCUAUGACGGGUAGCUGGUCUGAGAGGACGACCAGCCACACGGGAACUGAGACACGGUCCCGACUCCUACGGGAGGCAGCAGUGGGGAAUUUUCCGCAAUGGGCGAAAGCCUGACGGAGUGACGCCGCGUGGGGGACGAAGGCCUUCGGGUUGUAAACCCCUGUCAGAGGGAAAGAAGGGUGUCGGCGUGAUAACCGCCGGCACUUGACGGUACCUUCAGAGGAAGCCCCGGCCAACUCUGUGCCAGCAGCCGCGGUAAGACAGAGGGGGCAAGCGUUGCUCGGAAUCACUGGGCGUAAAGGGCGCGUAGGCGGGAUGGCAAGUCGGUCGUGAAAUCUCUCGGCUCAACCGAGAAACGUCGGCCGAUACUGCCGUUCUUGAGGGAUGCAGAGGAGACUGGAAUUCCCGGUGUAGCGGUGAAAUGUGUAGAGAUCGGGAGGAACACCGGUGGCGAAGGCGGGUCUCUGGGCAUUUCCUGACGCUGAGGCGCGAAAGCGUGGGGAGCAAACAGGAUUAGAUACCCCGGUAGUCCACGCCGUAAACGAUGGG
rnacentral:rRNA from 1 species